rnacentral:rRNA from 1 species
GACGAACGCUGGCGGCGUGCUUAACACAUGCAAGUCGAACGGAAAGGCCCUGCUUUUGUGGGGUGCUCGAGUGGCGAACGGGUGAGUAACACGUGAGUAACCUGCCCUUGACUUUGGGAUAACUUCAGGAAACUGGGGCUAAUACCGGAUAGGAGCUCCUGCUGCAUGGUGGGGGUUGGAAAGUUUCGGCGGUUGGGGCUGGACUCGCGGCUUAUCAGCUUGUUGGUGGGGUAGUGGCUUACCAAGGCUUUGACGGGUAGCCGGCCUGAGAGGGUGACCGGCCACAUUGGGACUGAGAUACGGCCCAGACUCCUACGGGAGGCAGAAGUGGGGAAUAUUGCACAAUGGGCGGAAGCCUGAUGCAGCAACGCCGCGUGCGGGAUGACGGCCUUCGGGUUGUAAACCGCUUUCGCCUGUGACGAAGCGUGAGUGACGGUAAUGGGUAAAGAAGCACCGGCUAACUACGUG